rnacentral:tRNA from 1 species
CGCAGAAUAGUGUAAUGGUAACACAUUGGACUCAUUAUCCAAAACUAAAGGUUCGAAUCCUUUUUCUGCUA